rnacentral:rRNA from 1 species
AUUGAACGCUGGCGGCAGGCCUAACACAUGCGAGUCGAACGGUAACAGGGAUCAGCUUGCUGAUUCGCUGACGAGUGGCGGACGGGUGAGUAAUGUCUGGGAAACUGCCUGAUGGAGGGGGAUAACUACUGGAAACGGUAGCUAAUACCGCAUAACGUCGCAAGCCCAAAGAGGGGGACCUUCGGGCCUCUUGCCAUCGGAUGUGCCCAGAUGGGAUUAGCUAGUAGGUGGGGUAACGGCUCACCUAGGCGACGAUCCCUAGCUGGUCUGAGAGGAUGACCAGCCACACUGGAACUGAGACACGGUCCGGACUCCUACGGGAGGCAGCAGUGGGGAAUAUUGCACAAUGGGCGCAAGCCUGAUGCAGCCAUGCCGCGUGUAUGAAGAAGGCCUUCGGGUUGUAAAGUACUUUCAGCGGGGAGGAAGGGAGUAAAGUUAAUACCUUUGCUCAUUGACGUUACCCGCAGAAGAAGCACCGGCUAACUCCGUG